AGUGAACGCUGGCGGUAGGCCUAACACAUGCAAGUCGAACGGCAGCACAGUAAGAGCUUGCUCUUACGGGUGGCGAGUGGCGGACGGGUGAGGAAUACAUCGGAAUCUACUUUUUCGUGGGGGAUAACGUAGGGAAACUUACGCUAAUACAGCAUACGACCUACGGGUGAAAGCAGGGGAACUUCGGACCUUGCGCGAUUGAAUGAGCCGAUGUCGGAUUAGCUAGUUGGCGGGGUAAAGGCCCACCAAGGCGACGAUCCGUAGCUGGUCUGAGAGGAUGAUCAGCCACACUGGAACUGAGACACGGUCCAGACUCCUACGGGAGGCAGCAGUGGGGAAUAUUGGACAAUGGGCGCAAGCCUGAUCCAGCCAUACCGCGUGGGUGAAGAAGGCCUUCGGGUUGUAAAGCCCUUUUGUUGGGAAAGAAAAGCAGCAGGUUAAUACCCCGCUGUUCUGACGGUACCCAAAGAAUAAGCACCGGCUAACUUCGUG
rnacentral:rRNA from 1 species